AACGAACGCUGGCGGCAUGCCUAACACAUGCAAGUCGAACGAGACCUUCGGGUCUAGUGUCGCACGGGUGCGUAACGCGUGGGAACCUGCCCUUAGGUUCGGAAUAACUCCCCGAAAGGGGUGCUAAUACCGGAUAAUGUCUUCGGACCAAAGAUUUAUCGCCUUUGGAUGGGCCCGCGUUGGAUUAGCUAGUUGGUAGGGUAAAAGCCUACCAAGGCGACGAUCCAUAGCUGGUCUGAGAGGAUGAUCAGCCACACUGGGACUGAGACACGGCCCAGACUCCUACGGGAGGCAGCAGUGGGGAAUAUUGGACAAUGGGCGAAAGCCUGAUCCAGCAAUGCCGCGUGAGUGAUGAAGGCCUUAGGGUUGUAAAGCUCUUUUACCCGGGAUGAUAAUGACAGUACCGGGAGAAUAAGCUCCGGCUAGCUCCGUG
rnacentral:rRNA from 1 species